rnacentral:rRNA from 1 species
GACGAACGCUGGCGGCGUGCUUAGCACAUGCAAGUCGAACGGAAAGGCCCUGCUUUUGUGGGGUGCUCGAGUGGCGAACGGGUGAGUAACACGUGAGUAACCUGCCCUUGACUUUGGGAUAACUUCAGGAAACUGGGGCUAAUACCGGAUAGGAGCUCCUGCUGCAUGGUGGGGGUUGGAAAGUUUCGGCGGUUGGGGAUGGACUCGCGGCUUAUCAGCUUGUUGGUGGGGUAGUGGCUUACCAAGGCUUUGACGGGUAGCCGGCCAGAGAGGGUGACCGGCCACAUUGGGACUGAGAUACGGCCCAGACUCCUACGGGAGGCAGCAGUGGGGAAUAUUGCACAAUGGGCGGAAGCCUGAUGCAGCAACGCCGCGUGCGGGAUGACGGCCUUCGGGUUGUAAACCGCUUUCGCCUGUGACGAAGCGUGAGUGACGGUAAUGGGUAAAGAAGCACCGGCUAACUACGUG